GACGAACGCUGGCGGCGUGCUUAACACAUGCAAGUCGAACGGAAAGGCCCUUCUUUUGUGGGGUGCUCGAGGGGCGAACGGGUGAGUAACACGUGAGUAACCUGCCUUUGACUUUGGGAUAACUUCAGGAAACUGGGGCUAAUACCGGAAAGAAGCUCCUGCUGCAUGGUGGGGGUAGGAAAGUUUCGGCGGUUGGGGAUGGACUCGCGGCUUAUCAGCUUGUUGGUGGGGUAGUGGCCAACCAAGGCUUUGACGGGUAGCCGGCCUGAGAGGGUGACCGGCCUCAUUUGUACUGAGAUACGGCCCAGACUCCUACGCGAGGCUGCAGUCGAAAAUAUUGCCCAAUGAGCGGAAGCCUGAUGCCGCACCGUCGCGAUCGGAAUAACGGCCUUCGGGUUGUGAACCGCUUUCGCCUGUGACCAAGCGUGCGUGACGGUAGUGGGUGAACAAGCACCGGCUAACUACGUG
rnacentral:rRNA from 1 species